AACGAACGCUGGCGGCAGGCUUAACACAUGCAAGUCGAACGCCCCGCAAGGGGAGUGGCAGACGGGUGAGUAACGCGUGGGAACGUGCCCUUCGCUUCGGAAUAGCCCCGGGAAACUGGGAGUAAUACCGAAUACGCCGUAUUGGGAAAGAUUUAUCGGCGAAGGAUCGGCCCGCGUUAGAUUAGCUAGUUGGCGGUGUAAUGGACCACCAAGGCUACGAUCUAUAGCUGGUCUGAGAGGAUGAUCAGCCACACUGGGACUGAGACACGGCCCAGACUCCUACGGGAGGCAGCAGUGGGGAAUCUCGGACAAUGGGCGCAAGCCUGAUCCAGCCAUGCCGCGUGAGUGAAGAAGGCCUUAGGGUUGUAAAACUCUUUCGCCGGAGAAGAUAAUGACGGUAUCCGGAGAAGAAGCCCCGGCUAACUUCGUGCCAGCCGCCGCUGUAAUAC
rnacentral:rRNA from 1 species